rnacentral:lncRNA from 1 species
ACCACCCACAGUGCACAAAAAAUUUCACGAUGAUGCUGUGAGGAUCCAUUCCUGGAAAGUUAGGUGGCCAUUAGAUGGGCUUGGCAUGGUGGCCGUUACAUGGACUAGACUCAUUUGGGCCAACUCCUACUAAUAGCAUGGUUCAAUUAAGUCAGUCAAAAUGGACUCAACUGUGAGCCUGCCGGUGCACACGUAUGCAAUGGUGUGGAUGAUCAACAUGUCAAUUUAGAAUUCACCAUCCAAUCUCAUCGUUUCUAGCCAAGAUCAUCAAGAUGGGACCUUCCAUGGCCUUCUUGACCCAAUCUUUGUUUAAGGAUGAAAGGGCUAAGGAAUCUCUGGGUGACC